AUACUCUGUUUUCUCUUCAAAUCGUAUAAAUCUUUCGCCUUUUACUAAAGAUUUCCGUGAAGAAAUAAAACAUUAUUGUGGUAGGCUAGCAAUGCCUUCCCUCCCAAAGAUAU